CACGUAGGGCGCAAGCGUUGUCCGGAAUUACUGGGCGUAAAGGGCUCGUAGGUGGCCAACUAAGUCAGACGUGAAAUCCCUCGGCUUAACCGGGGAACUGCGUCUGAUACUGGAUGGCUUGAGUUCGGGAGAGGGAUGCGGAAUUCCAGGUGUAGCGGUGAAAUGCGUAGAUAUCUGGAGGAACACCGGUGGCGAAGGCGGCAUCCUGGACCGACACUGACACUGAGGAGCGAAAGCCAGGGGAGCAAACGGG
rnacentral:rRNA from 1 species